GGAGUUGGACGGACCGUCGCUGCGCCCCGCAAGGGGCGGAGAGGAAAGUCCGGGCUCCAAUGGGCAGGGCGCUGGGUAACUCCCAGGGGGGGCGACCCCCGGAAAGCGCAACAGAAAGCAGACCGCCAGGGGCUUGCCCCUGGUAAGGGUGAAACGGUGGUGUAAGAGACCACCAGCAGAUGCGGCGACGCGUCUGGCUAGGCAUGCCCCGUCCGGAGCAAGACCAAAUAGGGAGGCAGGCUGGCCCGGCUAAUGCCUCCGGGUAGGUUGCUUGAGGUGGCCGGCAACGGUCAUCCUAGAGGAAUGACGGUCUCCCGCCCUCGGGCGGUGACAAAACCCGGCUUACAGUCCGACUCCGGCC
rnacentral:RNase_P_RNA from 1 species